rnacentral:rRNA from 1 species
UACGGGGGGGGCAAGCGUUGUUCGGAAUUACUGGGCGUAAAGGGCUUGUAGGUGGCCAACUAAGUCAGACGUGAAAUCCCCUCGGCUUAACCGGGGAACUGCGUCUGAUAUUGGAUGGCUUGAGUUUGGGAGAGGGAUGCGGAAUUCCAGGUGUAGCGGUGAAAUGCGUAGAUAUCUGGAGGAACACCGGUGGCGAAGGCGGCAUCCUGGACCAAUACUGACACUGAAAAGCGAAAGCCAGGGGAGCAAACGGG